rnacentral:rRNA from 1 species
AACAAACGCUGGCGGCGUGCAUAACACAUGCAAGUCUAACGGGAAUGUCGGCUUCGGUUGGCUAGUACCGUGGCGAACGGGUGAGUAACACGUGGGUAAUCUGACCUCGAGUUUGGGAUAACCUUGCGAAAGCGGGGCUAAUACCGAAUAAGACCACGCUCAGUUCGCUGGGUGCGGUAAAAGGUGGCCUCUUCUUGAAAGCUAUCACUUGAGGGUGAGCCCGCGGCCUAUUAGCUAGUUGGUGGGGUAAUGGCCUACCAAGGCGACGAUGGGUAGCCGGCCUGAGAGGGUGUACGGCCACACUGGCACUGAGACACGGGCCAGACUCCUACGGGAGGCAGCAGUGGGGAAUUUUGCGCAAUGGGGGAAACCCUGACGCAGCAACGCCGCGUGAGUGGUGAAGGCCUUCGGGUUGUAAAGCUCUUUUAGUGGGGAAGAAGCCCUCCCUGGCUAAUAUCCAGGGGGUCUGACGGUACCCACAGAAAAAGUUCCGGCUAACUACGUGCCAGCCGCCGCGGUAAGAC